GCCCAACUGUAAUACAACAAUUAAACCACGAAUUGUUCGCCAAAUAACUACGAGUAAAAACUUAAAAUUUAAAAGACUUGACGGUACUUCACAACAACCUAGAGGAGCCUGUCCUAUAACCGAUAACCCGCGAUUAACCCUACCCCCCCUGGCCCACAGUCUAUAUACCGCCGUCGCCAGCCUACCUUGUGAAAGAAAUAAAGUAAGCUAAACAAUACCACAUUAACACGACAGGUCGAGGUGUAACUAAUGGGGGGGAGAAAGAUGGGCUACAUUUUCCACCAGGAGCAUACGAAUGCGAUUACGAAAGUUGCCGCUGAAGGAGGAUUUAGCAGUAAGAUAAGAAUAAAAUGCCUAACUGAAAUAUGCAAUGAAGUGCGUACACACCGCCCGUCAUCCCUGUAGUAUUAUCAAAAAUACAUAAUGAACACCACACCCAAACCAGGGCAAGUCGUAACAUGGUAAGUGUACUGGAAAGUGUACUUAGUAA
rnacentral:rRNA from 1 species